rnacentral:rRNA from 1 species
GUGGGGAAUAUUGGACAAUGGGCGCAAGCCUGAUCCAGCCAUGCCGCGUGAGUGAUGAAGGCCUUAGGGUUGUAAAGCUCUUUCACCGAUGAAGAUAAUGACGGUAGUCGGAGAAGAAGCCCCGGCUAACUUCGUGCCAGCAGCCGCGGUAAUACGAAGGGGGCUAGCGUUGUUCGGAAUUACUGGGCGUAAAGCGCACGUAGGCGGAUAUUUAAGUCAGGGGUGAAAUCCCAGAGCUCAACUCUGGAACUGCCUUUGAUACUGGGUAUCUCGAGUAUGGAAGAGGUAAGUGGAAUUCCGAGUGUAGAGGGGAAAUUCGUAGAUAUUCGGAGGAACACCAGUGGCGAAGGCGGCUUACUGGUCCAUUACUGACGCUGAGGUGCGAAAGCGUGGGGAGCAAACAGGAUUAGAUACCCUAGUAGUCC